UACAGAGGCCCCAAGCGUUACUGAGAAUCACUGGGUUUAAAGGGUGCGUAGGUGGCGCGUUAAGUCCGUUGUGAAAUCCCUUGGCUCAACCAAGGAACUGCUUCGGAUACUGGCGUGCUUGAGGCUAGUAGAGGUCACUGGAACUGACGGUGGAGCGGUGAAAUGCGUAGAUAUCGUCAGGAACGCCAAGGUGAAGACAGGUGACUGG
rnacentral:rRNA from 1 species